rnacentral:rRNA from 1 species
UACGUAGGGACCGAGCGUUGUCCGGAUUCAUUGGGCGUAAAGAGCUCGUAGGCGGCCACUCAAGUCGAAUGUGAAACCUCGAGGCUCAACCUCGAGCCUGCAUUCGAUACUGGGCGGCUAGAGUCUGGUAGGGGGAUCUGGAAUUCCUGGUGUAGCGGUGGAAUGCGCAGAUAUCAGGAGGAACACCGGUGGCGAAGGCGGCUUUCUGGCCUUACCUGACGCUGAGGAGCGAAAGCGUGGGGGGAGCGAAACAGG